rnacentral:rRNA from 1 species
GACGAACGCUGGCGGCGCGCCUAACACAUGCAAGUCGAACGAGCGAGAGAGAGCUUGCUUUCUUGAGCGAGUGGCGAACGGGUGAGUAACGCGUGAGGAACCUGCCUCAAAGAGGGGGACAACAGUUGGAAACGACUGCUAAUACCGCAUAAGCCCACGGUGCCGCCUGGCACAGAGGGAAAAGGAGCAAUCCGCUUUGAGAUGGCCUCGCGUCCGAUUAGCUAGUUGGUGAGGUAACGGCCCACCAAGGCGACGAUCGGUAGCCGGACUGAGAGGUUGAACGGACACAUUGGGACUGAGACACGGCCCAGACUCCUACGGGAGGCAGGAGUGGGGAAUAUUGCACCAUGGGGGAAACCAUGAUGCAGCGACGCCGGGUGGAGGAAGAAGGUCUUCGGAUUGUAAACUCCUGUUGUUGGGGAAGAUAAUGACGGUACCCAAAAAGGAAGUGACGGCUAACUACGUG